rnacentral:rRNA from 1 species
UACAGAGGGUGCAAGCGUUGUUCGGAAUUAUUGGGCGUAAAGGGCGCGUAGGCGGUGCCACAAGUCACCUGUGAAAUCUAUGGGCUCAACUCAUAGUCUGCAUCGGAAACUGCCGGGCUUGAGUGUGGGAGAGGUGAGUGGAAUUCCUGGUGUAGCGGUGAAAUGCGUAGAUAUCAGGAGGAACACCUGUGGCGAAAGCGGCUCACUGGACCAUAACUGACGCUGAUGCACGAAAGCUAGGGGAGCAAACAGG